rnacentral:lncRNA from 1 species
CACAAUAAUUGCUCUGGAAUAAGGCAAGAGAGUGAGGGUUCUUCUCGUGGAAUGGAAAUGCUGCCCUGAGAAAGAGUCAGCCCCUGGAGCGUCCAUCCUCUGUGAAGUUAAGCUCUCUCCCUUGACCCCAGCCCAGGUCCCUGCAUAAAAUUAUCCCACUUUCAGACCUUCGUAUGUCAGAUCUGGCAAACUGGCUUCUGGGUGAAAUUCCUUUGGAUUUGUGCCUGCUUAGCCCUGCUUUGUUUUGGACCAGUUCCUGGCUUUGUGGACAGGCCCCCUGCCUCCCCGCCAGGUGACCUGGAGUGUCAGGAAAUCGGCGCAUUGCACCUUGGAGCUGUUUCCUUCUCCUCCACCACGGCAGAUUAGAAGCGGGACAGCCGGCUCUGGGCCCAGGCUCCGAACAUGCACGCCACGCCACAGUCCCGGGUGCAGUUUGAACAAGACCCAUUGGAUUCAGCGGGAGCAGCAGAGCUCGAGACCGGGUCCUUGGAAAGACUGCUGCGGGCGACGAGCCACCGUCUCAGAGCAUCGGCUGCUGCGAGGUUGCGGGGCUUCCCAAGCCUCCAGUGCGGUCGCCUGGAGAACAGAGAGUUCCUCGGCUCUCUUCUAGGAAGACUUGCCCAGAAGGACGACAACGUUUCCACUGUGGGUCUGUCCUCUGCCUUCACUGAGCUGGAGGCAGAGGGGUUUCAGAACCUCGGGAGUUUAGGUAGGAAAAGUUUCCCCUUCAUUGAAGACACAGACUUGCAAUUUGCUGCCUCAGACUGUUCGUGAUUGUCCGUGGUGGCAGCCGCAUGGCACUGCCUCUGGACCAUCCCGUGAUGCUACAGUCCAUGCCCAGCUCAGGCCUGAUGCCCUUGGAAGGGCUUUCCCUGUUCUUGGAGUCCAGAAGACCCUCACCCCACGGCCCGGGGGCACACAUCAAGGAGGCCGCCUCCCCAGCCCCGGUGCCUCUGUAGCUGCUGGCUCUCAUCCUCCUUAUGGCUCGAAGCACGUGGUGUCUCCUGCUAGGCUGUGGGCUCCUUGAGGCCAGCGGCUUUCUCCACGACGUCCAUUUGCUAUUCUAGUGCUUGGAGCCGUGCAUGAAGCGUCUGCUAAAUUUAUGUGUGUUCUAACGACUUCUUGAGAACAUGAACAUGACAGAUGCUCGAAUGUGGCCCUUGAAGUAACAAGUGACACGAGACAAACCUCCUCUUUCAGGUCUUGUGGGAAACUUGCUGGAGUGUGGAGAAUCCAGAGUUAUAAUCGUGAAGUUUGGAAGCAAAUACUAAAGGGGGGAACCUCACAGCUGUGCUGUACCUCGCUUGGUAAAAUUUCAGCUUCCUGCAAAGCCAUCAGCGAGGCAUUUCAAACAAAUCAAGUGAUAGCUGGCGUAGAUUUGGGGGCCCUUGUUAUCAAAAUCAAUCCUCUGGAUCAUCCUUUUGUAAAGUAUAAAACCAUUCCCAAAAUUAUGUUUUGUGUGAAUUCAAAUGUAAACAUUGGGCUCAUUUAAAUUCAUGUGUUAACCACAUGGCCCAUGAAAAUGAAACCACUGACACCUUUUGGGGAAGAACGAAAGUUGGGUUAUUUUUCCGGUGUGGAGCUGGGUCCUCACGGACGGAGCCUCUGACGCUCCUUGGUUGAGUCUCUGCAUGGCCGGUGGAAGGUGGGUCGGGCGCGGGCGCACACAGACCUGUGGAGC